GGGGUGGGGUACGCUGCAGAGGGAGGAAACGGGAGAGGCUGAAGGCACAAGCUGGAAAUGAGUCCCAAGCACAGAGGCUGGACAUGGGACCUGAGGCCCAGAGCAGGAGAGACAGACAAUACAGCGCUAUUGAACUGAUGUUAAUCCAAUCCAGAAUCAGGCAAUGGAGCAUGUGUUUGGAAAAGGAAAAGUCUAUUCUUCCCCCAAACUGUAAUAGCAAUUUUCAAAACAGCCUGGAAGGAACAUUUCCAAGAGUUUAUAAAAACCAAAUGACUUCAAGCAAGAAAGUAUGAGUGUUUGCAGUUUUGGAGAAAAGAAAGUUAAUUUCUGCAGAGUCAAAAGCACGCACUUGAAAAGAGGGAAAUUUUUACCAUAAAGAGGAUGUUCAGAAGAAAAAUGGGAAGAAUCUGGUAUAAAGAGUGUCACUGAGUCUGUGAUGUUGAAAAGCGAAAAGCUGAAGCUCGGAGGGAGAUGGAGGAGGAAGACAAGGAACCCAGCCGGCUGAAAAAAAAAUGAAGAAAGUGACGGCAUCUGGCCAGCAGAGGACCCGGAUAUAUGUGCUGCAUGGACAAGGGGCAGCCCCACACGUGAUAUCAUCCACAUGAGUUUAAAGCCUGCACUUGUCUCAUGAGGCAAGACCUUCAGGCUGUCUUUAGCAUCUCCUCGAAGGGCUCAAUGCCAAAAGGUACUAAUGUGACCAUCCUCACAGCAAAUAUCUCAUAAAGAAAGGAUCGCUAGGAACUAUAAUAGAAAUGAACAAGCAGAUCUUCUGAACGAGAACAAGGCUGCUUCACAGAGACUGAGAAUUCCCAAGAUCCCCCACUGCAGCUCACUCGCCACACUGGAGACUGAACUGAGACUCUGGAGCCAAUCUGAGCUAUCUACUUAUCUCAAGAAACCAAUCAAGGAAAA